UUUAGCACAUUUUAAGGUUUUCUCUAGUUUAGUAACAUUUAGAGAAAUAAUGGCUAGAAUAUCCUGCUGAUGGGUACUCUCCUGCUCUGCCAAAGACUCUCCAUUUGAUUACCAUCAGGCAGGUAGUGAAGUAUUGUCUCUAUGGUAACAGAGACAACAAGAAGACUGAUGGGGAACUGAAGAUGUAUAGGAUAAGGAAGAAAUAAGAACACUCUUCUGCCUAUCUCUGAAACAACACCUGUCAGCAAAUUACACAAUCCUAGGUACAUGACAAACGUAAUUUAGAUGACAAAAUAGUCAGACCUCCUCUAAGUGCUGGGAAUUGAGGAGAGCACUUGAAUUCCACCAUUGCCUGUGAACAGCAUUUUCCUGCUAAUUUCUGGGAAUGCAUCAAACCUCCCAAAGACUCAGACUUCUCAACUGUCAGAGAAUAGGAGCAAGAACAGAGCCACGUUCUUGCUCUCCAUCUGCUGGCCCUGCAGGAGCAGUUGACCAUGACUUCCAGAAUACUCUCAUCGCUGAUAAGGAAGCAAGGAAGAGCAAGGAACAAGAUGCAAAAGCUUUAUCCUACACCCCUUACUAUUAAUAUUUGAUGAAGUUGUGUCUGUAAUGAAAUGAAAGCAGACAUAACAGAACCAGG